rnacentral:lncRNA from 1 species
GUCUCGUAGAAUUAUUCAUUUUCAUCUGUCCAGUCAAUGACGAGAUGGAUUGGUCUUGUUGGACUAUAAUCGUUUAUUCCCAUUUAUAUAAAUAAUGCCUGAAAAUAUUAUGAAACUUUGGAAAAAGAUAAACGGUGACUACCAGUGCACGUUACCCUCAAUGAACUAAAAUGCUAGUAUCUUUUUUCCAAACACGGCUCCGUAUACACCUGGCUACUAAAUAACAAAGUAUGCUUGAUUGUGACUUUAUUGUGAUUAUAAUUUUUAUUUGAAAGCUUGUUAUGCUGGUUGAAUUGCAAUAUGUGAGUUGUACAAACAGUUACUGGUAAUUUUUUCGUUUGAACUCUGUAUUAUUUUACAAAAUUGUAUAUUAUUCUAUCAAGGCAGACUUACUUUAUAUGGCGGUACAUGUUUUCUAAACAAAACUGAUGGAUUUGUUUAUAACUUGACAGUUCAUAUAUUACAAAUGUGUCACAAAAACAUGAAAGCUAGAGAUUACCGAG